CCUACGGGAGGCAGCAGUAAGGAAUAUUGGUCAAUGGACGAAAGUCUGAACCAGCCAUGCCGCGUGGAGGAUGAAGGUCCUCUGGAUUGUAAACUUCUUUUAUAUGGGACGAAAAAGGGGCUUUCUAGCCCAACUGACGGUACCAUAUGAAUAAGCACCGGCUAACUCCGUGCCAGCAGCCGCGGUAAUACGGAGGGUGCAAGCGUUAUCCGGAUUCACUGGGUUUAAAGGGAGCGUAGGUGGGCUGGUAAGUCAGUGGUGAAAUCUCCGGGCUUAACUUGGAAACUGCCAUUGAUACUAUCAGUCUUGAAUAUUGUGGAGGUCAGCGGAAUAUGUCAUGUAGCGGUGAAAUGCUUAGAUAUGACAUAGAACACCAAUUGCGAAGGCAGCUGGCUACACAUAUAUUGACACUGAGGCUCGAAAGCGUGGGGAUCAAACAGGAUUAGAUACCCUGGUAGUC
rnacentral:rRNA from 1 species